rnacentral:rRNA from 1 species
GGUUAAGCGACUAAGCGUACACGGUGGAUGCCCCCGGCAGUCAGAGGCGAUGAAGGACGUGCUAAUCUGCGAAAAGCGCCGGCGAGGUGAUAUGAACCCUUGACCCGGCGAUGUCCGAAUGGGGAAACCCAGUGUGUUCCGACACACUAUCGUUAACUGAAUACAUAGGUUAACGAGGCGAACCGGGGAACUGAAACAUCUAAGUACCCCGAGGAAAAGAAAUCAACCGAGAUUCCCCCCAGUAGCGGCGAGCGAACGGGGAGCAGCCCGGAGUCUGAAUCAGCUUGUGUGUUAGUGGAACGGUCUGGAAAGUCCGACGGUACAGGGUGAUAGUCCCGUACACGAAAGCACACUUGCUGUGAACUCGAAGAGUAGGGCGGGACACGUGGUAUCCUGUCUGAAUAUGGGGGACCAUCCUCCAAGGCUAAAUACUCCUGACUGACCGAUAGUGAACCAGUACCGUGAGGGAAAGGCGAAAAGAACCCCGGCGAGGGGAGUGAAAAAGAACCUGAAACCGUGUACGUACAAGCAGUGGGAGCACCUUCGGGUGUGACUGCGUACCUUUGUAUAAUGGGUCAGCGACUUAUAUUCUGUAGCAAGGUUAACCGUAUAGGGGAGCCGAAGGGAAACCGAGUCUUAACUGGGCGUUAAGUUGCAGGGUAUAGACCCGAAACCCGGUGAUCUAGCCAUGGGCAGGUUGAAGGUUGGGUAACACUAACUGGAGGACCGAACCGACUAAUGUUGAAAAAUUAGCGGAUGACCUGUGGCUGGGGGUGAAAGGCCAAUCAAACCGGGAGAUAGCUGGUUCUCCCCGAAAGCUAUUUAGGUAGCGCCUCGUGAACUCAUCUUCGGGGGUAGAGCACUGUUUCGGCUAGGGGGCCAUCCCGGCUUACCAACCCGAUGCAAACUACGAAUACCGAAGAAUGUUAUCACGGGAGACACACGGCGGGUGCUAACGUCCGUCGUGAAGAGGGAAACAACCCAGACCGCCAGCUAAGGUCCCAAAGUCAUGGUUAAGUGGGAAACGAUGUGGGAAGGCACAGACAGCCGGGAUGUUGGCUUAGAAGCAGCCAUCAUUUAAAGAAAGCGUAAUAGCUCACUGGUCGAGUCGGCCUGCGCGGAAGAUGUAACGGGGCUAAACCAUGCACCGAAGCUGCGGCAGCGACACUAUGUGUUGUUGGGUAGGGGAGCGUUCUGUAAGCCGUUGAAGGUGUGCUGUGAGGCAUGCUGGAGGUAUCAGAAGUGCGAAUGCUGACAUAAGUAACGAUAAAGCGGGUGAAAAGCCCGCUCGCCGGAAGACCAAGGGUUCCUGUCCAACGUUAAUCGGGGCAGGGUGAGUCGACCCCUAAGGCGAGGCCGAAAGGCGUAGUCGAUGGGAAACAGGUUAAUAUUCCUGUACUUGGUGUUACUGCGAAGGGGGGGACGGAGAAGGCUAUGUCAGCCGGGCGACGGUUGUCCCGGUUUAAGCAUGUAGGCGGAGGUUCCGAGGUAAAUCCGGUACCUUGUUAACGCUGAGGUGUGAUGACGAGGCACUACGGUGCUGAAGUGAUAAAUGCCCUGCUUCCGAGGAAAAGCCUCUAAGCAUCAGGUAACACGAAAUCGUACCCCAAACCGACACAGGUGGUCAGGUAGAGAAUACCAAGGCGCUUGAGAGAACUCGGGUGAAGGAACUAGGCAAAAUGGUGCCGUAACUUCGGGAGAAGGCACGCUGAUAUGUAGGUGAAGCCCCUGCGGGCGGAGCUGAAAUCAGUCGAAGAUACCAGCUGGCUGCAACUGUUUAUUAAAAACACAGCACUGUGCAAACACGAAAGUGGACGUAUACGGUGUGACGCCUGCCCGGUGCCGGAAGGUUAAUUGAUGGGGUUAGCGGCAACGCGAAGCUCUUGAUCGAAGCCCCGGUAAACGGCGGCCGUAACUAUAACGGUCCUAAGGUAGCGAAAUUCCUUGUCGGGUAAGUUCCGACCUGCACGAAUGGCGUAAUGAUGGCCGAGGCUGUCUCCACCCGAGACUCAGUGAAAUUGAACUCGCUGUGAAGAUGCAGUGUACCCGCGGCAAGACGGAAAGACCCCGUGAACCUUUACUAUAGCUUGACACUGAACACUGGUCCUUGAUGUGUAGGAUAGGUGGGAGGCUUUGAAGCGUGGACGCCAGUCUGCGUGGAGCCAUCCUUGAAAUACCACCCUUUAAUGGCUGGUGUUCUAACGUAGACCCGUGAUCCGGGUUGCGGACAGUGUCUGGUGGGUAGUUUGACUGGGGCGGUCUCCUCCCAAAGAGUAACGGAGGAGCACGAAGGUUGGCUAAUCCCCGGUCGGACAUCAGGAGGUUAGUGCAAUGGCAUAAGCCAGCUUGACUGCGAGCGUGACGGCGCGAGCAGGUGCGAAAGCAGGUCAUAGUGAUCCGGUGGUUCUGAAUGGAAGGGCCAUCGCUCAACGGAUAAAAGGUACUCCGGGGAUAACAGGCUGAUACCGCCCAAGAGUUCAUAUCGACGGCGGUGUUUGGCACCUCGAUGUCGGCUCAUCACAUCCCCGGGGCUGAAGUAGGUCCCAAGGGUAUGGCUGUUCGCCAUUUAAAGUGGUACGCGAGCUGGGUUUAGAACGUCGUGAGACAGUUCGGUCCCUAUCUGCCGUGGGCGCUGGAGAAUUGAGGGGGCUGCUCCUAGUACGAGAGGACCGGAGUGGACGCAUCACUGGUGUUCGGGUUGUCAUGCCAAUGGCACUGCCCGGUAGCUAAAUGCGGAAGAGAUAAGUGCUGAAAGCAUCUAAGCACGAAACUUGCCCCGAGAUGAGUUCUCCCUGAGACCUUGAGUCUCCUGAAGGAACGUUGAAGACGACGACGUUGAUAGGUCGGGUGUGUAAGCGCAGCGAUGCGUUGAGCUAACCGAUACUAAUGAACCGUGAGGCUUAACCUU